AUUGAACGCUGGCGGCAGGCCUAACACAUGCAAGUCGAACGAGUGGCGGACGGGUGAGUAAUGUCUGGGAACCUGCCCGAUGGAGGGGGAUAACUACUGGAAACGGUAGCUAAUACCGCAUACCAUCGGAUGUGCCCAGAUUGGAUUAGCGGGUAGGUGGGGUAACGGCUCACCUAGGCGACGAUCCCUAUCUGGUUUGAGAGGAUGACCAGCCAGUCUGGAACUGAGACACGGGCCAGAUCCCGACGGGAGGCAGCAGUGGGGAAUAUUGCACAAUGGGCGCAAGCCUGAUGCAGCCAGGCCGCUUGUAUGAAGAAGGCCUUCGGUUUGUAAAGUACUUUCAGCGAGGAGGCGUUACUCGCAGAAGAAGCACCGGCUAACUCCGUGCCAGCCGCCGCGGUAAUAC
rnacentral:rRNA from 1 species